CCCUUAUGUUCUGGGCUACACACGUGCUACAAUGGCCGGUACAGACGGACGCAAAGCCGCGAGGUGGAGCAAAUCCUAAAAAGCCGGUCUCAGUUCGGAUUGCAGGCUGCAAUUCGCCUGCAUGAAGUCGGAAUCGCUAGUAAUCGCAGGUCAGCAUACUCGCGGUCGAAUACGUUCCGGGCCUU
rnacentral:rRNA from 1 species